NNNNNNNNNNNNNNNAGUCUCAAUCCCCCCUUUCCCUGUGUGUACAGGGGAUACAUGCCCUGGUGGUGACUCACUGGACUCCGUGGUGUGGUCCUUCCCUGGGCUGGACUCGCUGUUGCUUCCCACCCCCCGCAGCAGGGUGCUGGAGUACCAGAUAAACUUUCCCUGGUGUGCCUCCGGCUGCCUUGUGCCAUCGGCCUGGGGGGUUUCCGGGCAUCCAGCUGUGAUAGGGUUUCCGGGCGUCCAGCUGUGAUAAGCACAGCCAAGCAAGCACACGGGGGCAGCAGCAACGUCGGCUGCUCCAUCCAUCGAGAAACACAGUCUAAUGCGUGCCAGGGUCCGUGGCUCACGUGAAAGCUCCCCUGGACGCGCUGAAGAUAAGCAGCUGCUGCUUCAAGAACCGCAAGCAGCGGUGAAGGAGAAGGGCAUUGCAGGCAGCUCUGAAGUAACCACCUGGACCCAGGCAUGAAAGCAGUGAAGUGUGGAAGGAUGCUGAGGGAAGAAUAUUGUGAAAAUUGAAGGUGAGUAACUGAAAUAAUCUAAUUAUUGAGACACUUGGGCAGCUGGCUAAAUGUUUGAACUUAAUUCUCUU
rnacentral:lncRNA from 1 species